GGUAGCUUGCUAUGCUGACGACCGGCGCACGGGUGCGUAACGCGUAUAGAACCUACCUUAUAGUAAGGGAUAGCCCAGAGAAAUUUGGAUUAAUACCUUAUAGUAUUAUUGAAUGGCAUCGUUUAAUAAUUAAAGAUUUAUUGCUAUAAGAUGGCUAUGCGUUCUAUUAGCUAGUUGGUAUGGUAACGGCAUACCAAGGCUACGAUAGAUAGGGGUCCUGAGAGGGAGAUCCCCCACACUGGUACUGAGACACGGACCAGACUCCUACGGGAGGCAGCAGUGAGGAAUAUUGGACAAUGGAGGCAACUCUGAUCCAGCCAUGCCGCGUGUAGGAAGACUGCCCUAUGGGUUGUAAACUACUUUUAUAGAGGAAGAAACGACACUACGUGUAGUGUUUUGACGGUACUCUACGAAUAAGGAUCGGCUAACUCCGUGCCAGCAGCCGCGGUAAUACGGAGGAUCCAAGCGUUAUCCGGAAUCAUUGGGUUUAAAGGGUCCGUAGGCGGGUUUGUAAGUCAGUGGUGAAAGUUUUCGGCUCAACCGGAAAAUUGCCAUUGAUACUGCAAGUCUUGAAUCAUUGUGAAGUGGUUAGAAUGUGUAGUGUAGCGGUGAAAUGCAUAGAUAUUACACAGAAUACCGAUUGCGAAGGCAGAUCACUAACAAUGUAUUGACGCUAAGGGACGAAAGCGUGGGUAGCGAACAGGAUUAGAUACCCUGGUAGUCCACGCCGUAAACGAUGGUUACUAGCUGUUUGGACUUCGGUCUAAGUGGCUAAGCGAAAGUGAUAAGUAACCCACCUGGGGAGUACGUUCGCAAGAAUGAAACUCAAAGGAAUUGACGGGGGCCCGCACAAGCGGUGGAGCAUGU
rnacentral:rRNA from 1 species